rnacentral:rRNA from 1 species
CGUAACAAGGUUUCCGUAGGUGAACCUGCGGAAGGAUCAUUACCUAGAGUUUGUGGACUUCGGUCUGCUACCUCUUACCCAUGUCUUUUGAGUACCUUCGUUUCCUCGGCGGGUCCGCCCGCCGGUUGGACAACAUUCAAACCCUUUGCAGUUGCAAUCAGCGUCUGAAAAAACUUAAUAGUUACAACUUUCAACAACGGAUCUCUUGGUUCUGGCAUCGAUGAAGUACGCAGCGAAAUGCGAUAAGUAGUGUGAAUUGCAGAAUUCAGUGAAUCAUCGAAUCUUUGAACGCACAUUGCGCCCCUUGGUAUUCCAUGGGGCAUGCCUGUUCGAGCGUCAUUUGUACCUUCAAGCUCUGCUUGGUGUUGGGUGUUUUGUCUCGCCUCCGCGCGCAGACUCGCCUUAAAACAAUUGGCAGCCGGCGUAUUGAUUUCGGAGCGCAGUACAUCUCGCGCUUUGCACUCAUAACGACGACGUCCAAAAGUACAUUUUUACACUCUUGACCUCGGAUCAGGUAGGGAUACCCGCUGAACUUAAGCAUNUCA